UGCCUGAGUUAAUCGGAUUUUCCCCUGACAAGACCUGGACCGGACCUGGACAAAGAGCCCUGGAUAACCCCCUCUCGGACGCCUUCGUCAUAAGGAGUCAGAGUUCUGCCCUCAGCACGUCCAGGAGCGGCCAGUCGCAGAGUGCGAGCCGAGCCAGGGGACCGCGCCGCCAGCGUCAAAAUAAAGACUGAUAAUAUUUCGUACUCACUUGUUUUCGGGUAUUUCUUGGGUCCUCCUAAAUUCAUCACA